AUUGAACGCUGGCGGCAUGCCUUACACAUGCAAGUCGAACGGCAGCACGGGAGCAAUCCUGGUGGCGAGUGGCGAACGGGUGAGUAAUACAUCGGAACGUGCCCAGUAGUGGGGGAUAACCCGGCGAAAGCCGGACUAAUACCGCAUACGACCUACGGGUGAAAGCAGGGGAUCGCAAGACCUUGCGCUAUUGGAGCGGCCGAUGUCAGAUUAGCUUGUGGUGGGGUAAAGCCUACCAAGGCAACGAUCUGUAGCUGGUCUGAGAGGACGACCAGCCACACUGGGACUGAGACACGGCCCAGACUCCUACGGAGGCAGCAGUGGGAAUUUUGGACAAUGGGCGCAAGCCUGAUCCAGCCAUGCCGCGUGCGGGAAGAAGGCC
rnacentral:rRNA from 1 species